AUGGGGGAAGGGANNNNNNNNNNAAAGGGGGGGAAGAGGGGAAAGGAGGAAAAAGGGUGGAAAAGAGGAAAAAGGUGGAAAAGGGGGGGAAAGAUGGAAAAGGGGGGAAGUGGGGAGAAAGGGGGCAAACUUGGGAAAAGGGGGAAAAAGGCGGAAAAGGGGGAAAAAGGAAGGAAAUGGGGGAAAAGGGGAAAAAGGGAGAAAUGGGGAAAAGGGAGAAAAUGUGGGAAAAGGGGGAAAGGGGAAAAGGGGUGGGGAAAGCGGGAAAGGGGGGAAAAGGGGAAGAGAGUGAAAAUAUGGGAAAGGGGGAAAAAGGUGGAAAAGGGGAAAAGGACAGGAAAGGAGGGAAAAGGAAAAAAAGGGGGGGAAGGGGAUAAAGGGAGAAGUGGGGAGAAAGGAGAAAAUGGGGAAAAGGGGGAAAAGGGGGGGAAAGCGGGAGAAAGUGGAAGAGGUGGAAAAUGUGGUAAAAGGGGGAAUAAAGGGAGAAAAGGGGAGAAAAAGAGGGAAAGAAGGAAAAAGGGGGAAAGGGAAAAAAGAAAAGAGGGGAAAAGGGGAACGAAGGGAGAAAAGGGAAAAAGGGAGAAAAUGGGGAGAAAGGUGGAAGGGGGGAAACGUGGGAAAAGGAAAAAAAGUGGAAAAGGGGAAGAAGAGGGAAAGGAAGGAAAAGGGGGGAAAGGGAAAAAAAAGGAAAAAUGGAGGAAAAUGGGAAAAAAAGGAGAAGUGGGGAAAAAGGGGGAAAGGGGAAAAAUGAAGAAGAUGCAUAAAAAGGGGAAAAGGGGGGAAAAGGGAGGAAAAAGGGGAAAGGGAAAAAGAGGAGAAAGGGGGGUAAGGAGGAAAAGGGGCAAAAAUAGGGGAAAAGGGAGCCCUGCCCUCACCUCCUGCUGCUCAGGGAUGCGCCUGAGGCUUGGGCACGCACCUGAAAGCUGCCCUUGUGCCCUGCCAUGGGGGCUAAAAAGAAAAAAAAAUAAAAUUUUUGGUUUAACAAUACAAAAGCUUGGGAGGUUGGCGUAG
rnacentral:lncRNA from 1 species